GACGAACGCUGGCGGCGUGCUUAACACAUGCAAGUCGAACGAUGAAGCGGUGCUUGCACCGUGGAUUAGUGGCGAACGGGUGAGUAAUACGUGAGUGACCUACCUCUGGCUCUGGGAUAAGCCUGGGAAACUGGGUCUAAUACCGGAUACGACCAAUCUCUGCAUGGGGUGUUGGUGGAAAGCGUUAUGGAGUGGUUUUAGAUGGGCUCACGGCCUAUCAGCUUGUUGGUGAGGUAAUGGCUUACCAAGGCGACGACGGGUAGCCGGCCUGAGAGGGUGACCGGCCACACUGGGACUGAGACACGGCCCAGACUCCUACGGGAGGCAGCAGUGGGGAAUAUUGCACAAUGGGCGCAAGCCUGAUGCAGCGACGCCGCGUGAGGGAUGACGGCCUUCGGGUUGUAAACCUCUGUUAGCAUCGAAGAAGCGAAAGUGACGGUAGGUGCAGAGAAAGCGCCGGCUAACUACGUG
rnacentral:rRNA from 1 species